rnacentral:rRNA from 1 species
UGGGGAAUUUUGCGCAAUGGGGGAAACCCUGACGCAGCAACGCCGCGUGUGUGAUGAAGGCCUUCGGGUCGUAAAGCUCUGUCAGAGGGGAAGAAAUGCAGGGGUGCUAAUAUCAUCUUUGCUUGACGGUACCCUCAAAGGAAGCACCGGCUAACUCCGUGCCAGCAGCCGCGGUAAUACGGAGGGUGCGAGCGUUGUUCGGAAUGAUUGGGCGUAAAGCGCGUGUAGGCGGUUUGGUAAGUCUGAUGUGAAAGCCCCGGGCUCAACCUGGGAAGUGCAUUGGAAACUGUCAGACUUGAAUACGGGAGAGGGUAGUGGAAUUCCUAGUGUAGGAGUGAAAUCCGUAGAUAUUAGGAGGAACACCGGUGGCGAAGGCGGCUACCUGGACCGAUAUUGACGCUGAGACGCAAAAGCGUGGGGAGCAAACAG